UUCAGGGCAGCGCACGUGUG
rnacentral:misc_RNA from 1 species